rnacentral:rRNA from 1 species
GGGCUCGCACAAGUGGUGGAGCAUGCGGUUUAAUUCGAUGCUACGCGAAAAACCUUACCAACCCUUGACAUGGUAGUCGCGGAUCACAGAGAUGAGAUCCUUCAGUUCGGCUGGACUACACACAGGUGUUGCAUGGCUGUCGUCAGCUCGUGUCGUGAGAUGUUGGUUAAGUCCCGCAACGAGCGAAACCCUCAUCCUUAUUUGCUAGCGGUUCGGCCGGGGACUAUAAGGAAACUGCCGGUGAUAAGCCGGAGGAAGGUGGGGAUGAUGUCAAGUCAUCAUGGCCCUUAUGGGUUGGGCUACACGCGUGCUACAAUGGUAUCUACAGAGGGAAGCAAGAUGGCGACAUGGAG